rnacentral:misc_RNA from 1 species
GUAAAAGCAAGAGGUAUCUUUUUUAUUAGUUUUUAAUAAUUGCGAUUGGAAGAAUGUAUGUUUUAAAUUGGCUUUCCAUUGGCAAUCUAUAGGAGAGAUAUAAUGAAAAACAGAAUUACCUAGAAUCAUUUGUGGAAGACAAACUUUAUUCAUGUCCUGCAUCGACAGAUCUCUAGCCUUAUUCAGAGGAUCUUGAAAAUUCUGAAUCUGUACUUCCACAUAAACUUUAAAAUUACUCAGAGUUGAUCAAUAUGUUAUAUAUCUGUCCUUACAAAACACAUUCUAAAAUGCUGCCACUAAAUGUCUGCGUGAUAGUUUCUUGCAUAGUCAUAAAUUCACUAUCGUGGCAAGAGGGUGCGAAGAAAUCAAGUCUUGUUCAAUGCACAGCAAAGCCAACUAAAAUUCAAUUUCAGCAACAUGAUGAUACCUUAUUCCCAAAGAUACUGCAACCCAACAAUAUAAAACCCAGAAAUCAGCAAAAACGUGCAAACUCCAAUAUUCAGUGGAAAUCCACCAAACAAAGCACCCUAAGAAUCACACACAACACUUCUGGCAUUGCUAAACCUUGCUUCUCUGUUGCAAGUUUUGCCAACCUGCCAGAGUUUCAAUCCAAGCAAUCAUCUCUUCUCUUUUAAUAAGCUUUCUUAUGGAAAAAUGUUCCCAGUUUUCAUGAUAUCCUAUAAGUCCUGUAUAAAUUAAAAUUUUGUUGGGUCAGGAUCAACUUACAUGUACAAGUUAAAUAAAGUUUUGCACGGUUCCAUAAUUUUUCCUGGAUUCAUAUUUUUGGAAAUUUUCUGUUAGAUUUACAGCUCUGGUCAUGUAGAUAAUGUACACCAAACAUAUGAAAAAGAUAUGGGCCAUGUAAAAAACCAUUUAACUUACACAUGCUAGAAUUUUGCUCAGGCACGCCACAUCUUUUCAUUUGCUUGGCAGCUUAAUAAUUGCAAUGCUAAGGGGUAGAAUAAGUCUUAAGAAUAGAGGUAUCAACUAUGUAUAAGGGAAUCAAUUCUGAAGAAACAGCAACCAUAAAAAUGCUGAGUACAGCCUGGUUUCUAUUUUGUUGGGCAUGUUGUCCUGAGUGUUAAAUUUUCAUUUCCCCCAUCAGUGUGUGAUUCUGCAUUUUGAUCUCUUCCAUCACCGUUUUUAUUUAGUUUUCUUUAGUAUUUUCCCUUUUUGUGAUGCAGGAAAUAAAGCUUCCG